UAUCUCUGUAGAGUCUGCAUAUCAAUAAGCGGAGGAAAAGAAACUAACUAGGAUUCCCUCAGUAACGGCGAGUGAAGCGGGAAGAGCUCAAAUUUGAAAUCUUCAAGGUUCUACCUUGACGAAUUGUAGUUUAAAGAAGUGUUUUCUGUUGGUAGUUUUGGUAAAAGUUCUUUGGAAUAGGACAUCAUAGAGGGUGAGAAUCCCGUAUUUGACCAUUAUUUCCAGCUUUGUGAUACACUUUCAAAGAGUCGGAUUGUUUGGGAAUGCAGUCCAAAAUGGGUGGUAAAUUUCAUCUAAAGCUAAAUACUGGCGAGAGACCGAUAGCGAACAAGUACCGUGAGGGAAAGAUGAAAAGAACUUUGAAAAGAGAGUUAAACAGUACGUGAAAUUGUCAAAAGGGAAGCGUUUGACACCAGUGUUGUUUUCUCGAAAAUCAAUUAAAAAAGGCAGGAUUUUGUGUUGUAUUGACUUUAUCAGCUUUCUGCACUCUUUUCUUGUCUUUUUUAAUGCACUUUUCGUUUAACAAGUCAACAUCAAUUUCUUUUGUUGUAAAAGGGUCAUUGGAAGGUGGCUUUCUUUUCGGAGAAAGUGUUUAUAGCCUUUUGGCCUCUGCAAUCGGAGAGAUUGAGGUCUGCAGCGUAGAUCCUUCGGGGUUAGAUACAUUUGUGCUAAGUUAUAGCCUUUCAUAGACAACUUGUUGACUAUGAUCAGUCAUGUAGCUUACUCGCUUAUGCUAUUUUACCUACGCUUAGGAUGUUGAAGUCAUCGUAUCGCGC
rnacentral:rRNA from 1 species